GGUGUGCCUCAGAAGGCUUCCUAGGGCGGGCGGAUAUACGAGGCUUCUGUGUCUUUAGCAGUGGCGGAGAAGCAGUGGAAUUUGGUGCCUAUUGGGACUGGUGGGGCGGAAGGCAGAGAGCCCAUCAGUAGGUGGCGCCAGAGCCAAUGACAGGCAGAGCCAACGCAUUCUGGUUUUGCCCCCAUCCUCCUCCCUGCUGAGUUCCACAAAGGCAACACUGAAACUAAAGGAGGAAGAGGCCGGCAGCAGCGACACUCCCCCUCCCAGACUGGGUGUAAGCAAGGAGGCAGACAGCUCCAGCAGUGAUUCCAAACUUAUAGGGGAAAGGUGGAGAAUAAUAAAGAAGACAAGAGACGAGUAAAGAUGGCGAAAUUUGCAGGGAACAAAGAAAGUCAUAAAAUUCAGAAAUAAAAUUCAGAUUUUUUUUCCAUACCACCUCUAAUGGUGGCACAAAUGGUUCUUCCUGCACAACCCAUCUUACCAUCACAACAACCCCAUGAGUCCAGAUCUGGGCCCUGUACCAGUUGCCUGCCUCAGACCCUUGCACCUGUCAUUCCCCCAUGAGGGCGCCUGCUU